UUCUGGGGAGGGUGGUCCAUCCUUAAAUGAGCUGCUAAGUGUGGGCUAGCCAGCUGUAUCCCAUUAGCUGUCUCAGCUGCAGGAGAUGUGAGGAGCAUGUAAAUCAGAUGCGGAGAGCUUGUUUUUGUCAUGGACUUCGUACGGAAGAGAAGGCUGAGAGAAGUUGUGGCAAAAUGCAGUAGUGUGAUGUGCCAUGUAGCAUUUCCUUCGCCUCAUGGUGAGAACUGCUUGAUGGAACAGAAAUCCAGGAAUUGA
rnacentral:lncRNA from 1 species